AAAACGACUCUCGGCAACGGAUAUCUCGGCUCUCGCAUCGAUGAAGAACGUAGCGAAAUGCGAUACUUGGUGUGAAUUGCAGAAUCCCGUGAACCAUCGAGUCUUUGAACGCAAGUUGCGCCCCAAGCCUUCUGGUUGAGGGCACGUCUGCCUGGG
rnacentral:rRNA from 1 species